CGGGAACUGAGGAUAAUGUUUCAUAAUUGAAUUGGCUUGGAAAAGUUUUUCAAUGAAAAGGAUAAAAAAAAUGGUUUUUAUCUGCUAUAGGAUAGGAUCGUGUUCGAUUAUGGUAGUUGGUGAGAUAAUGGCUCACCAAGCCGAUAAUCGAUAGGGGCCGUGAGAGCGGGAGCCCCGAGAUGGGUACUGAGACAACGACCCAGGCCUUACGAGGCGCAGCAGGCGCGGAACCUCCGCAAUACACGAAAGUGUGACGGGGUUACCCAAAGUGUUCAAUUUAGAACUGUGGUAGGUGAGUAAUGUCCCCUACUAGAAAGGAGAGGGCAAGGCUGGUGCCAGCCGCCGCGGUAAAACCAGCUCUUCAAGUGGUCGGGAUAAUUAUUGGGCUUAAAGUGUCUGUAGCCGGUUUAGUAAGUUCCUGGUAAAAUCGGGUAGCUUAACUAUCUGCAUGCUAGGAAUCCUGCUAUACUAGAGGGCGGGAGAGGUCUGAGGUACUACAGGGGUAGGGGUGAAAUCUUAUAACCCUUGUAGGACCACCAGUGGCGAAGGCGUCAGACUGGAACGCGCCUGACGGUGAGGGACGAAAGCCAGGGGAGCGAACCGGAUUAGAUACCCGGGUAGUCCUGGCCGUAAACGAUGCAUACUAGGUGAUGGUACGGCCAUGAGCCGUAUCAGUGCCGUAGGGAAACCGUUAAGUGUGCCGCCUGGGAAGUACGGUCGCAAGGCUAAAACUUAAAGGAAUUGGCGGGGGACACCCAAGGGUG
rnacentral:rRNA from 1 species